rnacentral:rRNA from 1 species
CGCGUAGGCGGCUUGGCAAGUCAGAUGUGAAAGCCCCGGGCUUAACCCGGGAAUUGCAUCUGAAACUGCUUUGCUUGAGUCCUGGAGGGGUAGUGGAAUUCCCAGUGUAGCGGUGAAAUGCGUAGAUAUUGGGAGGAACACCUGCGGCGAAGGCGGCUACCUGGACAGUGACUGACGCUGAGGCGCGAAAGCUAGGGGAGCGAACG